GUGCUGUAUUAAAGGAGAGAAGGUUAGCCUCCCCCUGACACGAUGGACGAGGCCCUGGGCCUAACAACACACACACAGUUAAGGCAUUGCCACCUACUUUGUGACAUCUAACAAAAUAAAAAA
ensembl:snRNA U6atac minor spliceosomal RNA